AGUGGCGGACGGGUGAGUAACGCGUAAGAAUCUAACUUCAGGACGGGGACAACAGUUGGAAACGACUGCUAAUACCCGAUGUGCCGCAAGGUGAAACCUAAUUGGCCUGAAGAAGAGCUUGCGUCUGAUUAGCUAGCUGGUGGGGUAAGAGCCUACCAAGGCGACGAUCAGUAGCUGGUCUGAGAGGAUGAGCAGCCACACUGGGACUGAGACACGGCCCAGACUCCUACGGGAGGCAGCAGUGGGGAAUUUUCCGCAAUGGGCGAAAGCCUGACGGAGCAACGCCGCGUGAGGGAGGAAGGUCUUUGGAUUGUAAACCUCUUUUCUCAAGGAAGAAGUUCUGACGGUACUUGAGGAAUCAGCCUCGGCUAACUCCGUGCCAGCAGCCGCGGUAAUACGGGGGAGGCAAGCGUUAUCCGGAAUUAUUGGGCGUAAAGCGUCCGCAGGUGGUCAGCCAAGUCUGCUGUCAAAUCAGGUUGCUUAACGACCUAAAGGCGGUGGAAACUGGCAGACUAGAGAGCAGUAGGGGUAGCAGGAAUUCCCAGUGUAGCGGUGAAAUGCGUAGAGAUUGGGAAGAACAUCGGUGGCGAAAGCGUGCUACUGGGCUGUAUCUGACACUCAGGGACGAAAGCUAGGGGAGCGAAAGGGAUUAGAUACCCCUGUAGUCCUAGCCGUAAACGAUGGAUACUAGGCGUGGCUU
rnacentral:rRNA from 1 species